GGUCGCCAUGACCGGUCCCGCCCCGCUCCGCCAGUGGCCAGACCGGCGCGGGGAAGAACGAAUGACAAGACGUAACACGCCUUUAGAAAGAUGGCGGCGCGCAGGCGCGGGUUUCCCUUGGCGCUUUCCGGCCGCCUGCUGCGGAGAGAGCAUCAAGGUUCCGCCCUACCCGUCAGGAACUGGCCAGCCCAGGUCUUGCCUUUCAGAAUUCUCUAAGAACAGGACAUCAGCAUGAGUCCCUGGGAUGAGUCAUCAAAAUAAUAUCUGGAGGAACAUGAAGAGUGUCUGGAGGAAACUAAAAAGCAACAGCAUGGGUUUAUUUUAAAAUAUUUUUUCUUCUUACUCCUCUUCCUCCUCCUCCUUCUUUUCUUCCUUUUUUUUUUUUUUUUUUUUUGAGACAGGGUUUCUCUGUGUAGCCCUGACUGUCUGGAAAUUGCUCUGUAGACCAGGCUGGCCUCAAACUCAGAGGUCUACCUGCCUCUUCUUUCCAAGUACUGGGACUAAAAGUGUGUGCCAUCACCCCCUGGCCAAUUCUUUUUUAACUUACUUAUUUAUUUUAUGUAUAUGAGUACACUGUCGUUGUCUUCAGACACACCAGAAGAUCCCAUUACAGAUGGUUGAGAGCCACCAUAUGGUUGCUGAGAAUUGAACUCAGGACCUCUGGAAAAGCAACCAGUGCUCUGAACUGCUAAGCCAUCUCACCAGUUCCCCAAUUCUAGUUCUUAACCAGGGUAUGAGAGGUCUUCUGGUAGGGGAAUCAAAUUUUAUUAAAGGUGAGAGUAAAACUAGACCAUAGUAGGUUUCAUGGUUGAACAAAUGUUGAACAUGCUGAUGUUCACGUUGAACAAGUUUGAUGUACAUCUUUAAAACAACAAAAAUCAAACUUACUAAAACUCCCCGCAGCAUCUACAUUUAACUUAAUACUGUUUUCCUGUUGGAGUAACACAGCCGUACUGCUGUCCCACAGACCUAUAAGCAGGAAGCAGUGAGAAGCUUGCUGGGAUUAUGGAGCUCCUGAAGUUAAAUAGGGCUGUUCCCUUAGUACUUUCAAGGAAGGAGUAAGCCCCUUUCUCUAGUCUUUAACCACAAUGCCUGCAAACCAAUCACAGCAAAGACAAAUACUCUGAUGUCUAAGCUAACAAGGUGCUGCCGAGAGCAGGCAGAGAAGAGCUGGCUGCUGCACAGCACUUUUCUCCACAUCACCUUGCUGACUGUCUUUAAGACUUUAUGUACCCUUGGCUGACCUCAAACUCAAGAGAUCCACCUGUCUCUCUCUGCCACCCAUGAGCUGGGACUAAGACUGUGCCCCCAUACCCAGCUCAGCCUCUGCUUCUCAAUGCAGACAACAUCACAAGACCUAAUUUCAGUUCAAACUCAUUUCCCUUUAUUAAAGUCCAAGUUACUAUUACAUGGUUUGAUACUCAAAGGAAAAUUUGUUCAAAUAAAACAUUUCCAGGCAACUGUUUCAAUCAAGUAGCAAUAGCAGUUAAGUCCUUAGGAAGCCCAUCUGCAGAGAGGGAGAGAAAAAAAAAAGCACAGAAUUAGCCAGUAAAGUGCUAAAAUGAAGACAUUUUAUUUAAAAUGACCUUUGGAACUACAGCCCCAGGAAACAGCCUCCACCCUGGAGCACUUCCUGCUUUAAUACAGCCUCCGUCAAUUUACAAGGGCCUGACUUUGUAGCCUCUUCAUCAUUUACACCACUGGUACUUAGCCUUUUUUUCCUAAUCAGAAAAGUUUAAAGCCAGGUAAUCCUAGCAGUCAGAACAACAUAGACAGGAUAGUAAUUUCAGAGCUGAUCAAGAUGGCUGAGCAGGUAAAGACACUUGCUGCAGAGCCAGACAACCUGAGAUGAAGCCCUCGGACUGACAUGAUAGGAAAAAACUGACUAGAAAAAAAUGUCUUCUGAAUUUCACACCGUUGCUGUGGCACAAACACACACAAAAACCCACAGGACAGUGCUGCCAUCAGCCCACCACUCUUUGAACUGCUACUUACCGAAGGGAGUUUACACUUUGUCAAGGCCCAGCUCCUCUGGAGUGGAGAUUCCCAAUUCAUUUAAAGUUGGUCUAAGUUCCUGGAUGACAUAGGGAUAGAUUUCCUUAUGAGGUCCUGCUUUGUCCUGUUGGCAAUGAGAAUAGUCUGUUAACAAAUGAAACUGCAGGGCUGGGGUUAGACCUCAGUUGAUAGAAGCCCACCAGCUGUUCAGAAGGCCUUUCAGUUGGGCCUCAGAACCACAACCCAGGUGUGGACUCCUGUAAUUUAGUAGAGACAGCUCAAGUAUGAGAAGCUCAAGGUGGUAAUGACAGAAUUUUGAAAAGGUAAUUAAACAUGCCCAUCAGGCAUCAGAAGAAUUAAAUUAACAGAAGGGAAGUUUCUUAACUUGCUUCCAAUUUAAAGGACUGACUUUAUCAACUACCAGUGCUGAGUGGACGGACAGCUCCAGAAUCCUUAAUUAUCUUAGUCAGUACAGAUAAAGUAUUGUCACUUUCCCCUUACAAACC
ensembl:lincRNA Gm26631 predicted gene, 26631